GAACGAAGUAGCAAUACUUAGUGGCAGACGGGUGAGUAACAUGUAGGUAUCUGCCCUUUGGCCUGGAAUAACACGAGGAAACUUGUGCUAAUACCGGAUAAGUCUUUACGGAGAAAGCUUUAUGCACCAUUGGAUGAGCCUGCACUUGAUUAGUUUGUUGGUGGGGUAAUGGCCUACCAAGACUGUGAUCAAUAGCUGAUUUGAGAGGAUGAUCAGCCACAUUGGGACUGAGACACGGCCCAAACUCCUACGGGAGGCAGCAGUGGGGAAUCUUGCACAAUGGAGGAAACUCUGAUGCAGCGAUGCCGCGUGAGUGAAGAAGGCCUUUGGGUUGUAAAGCUCUUUCGUCGGGGAAGAA
rnacentral:rRNA from 1 species